rnacentral:rRNA from 2 species
GAUGAACGCUGGCGGCGUGCCUAAUACAUGCAAGUCGAGCGAAUGGAUUAAGAGCUUGCUCUUAUGAAGUUAGCGGCGGACGGGUGAGUAACACGUGGGUAACCUACCCAUAAGACUGGGAUAACUCCGGGAAACCGGGGCUAAUACCGGAUAAUAUUUUGAACUGCAUAGUUCGAAAUUGAAAGGCGGCUUCGGCUGUCACUUAUGGAUGGACCCGCGUCGCAUUAGCUAGUUGGUGAGGUAACGGCUCACCAAGGCGACGAUGCGUAGCCGACCUGAGAGGGUGAUCGGCCACACUGGGACUGAGACACGGCCCAGACUCCUACGGGAGGCAGCAGUAGGGAAUCUUCCGCAAUGGACGAAAGUCUGACGGAGCAACGCCGCGUGAGUGAUGAAGGCUUUCGGGUCGUAAAACUCUGUUGUUAGGGAAGAACAAGUGCUAGUUGAAUAAGCUGGCACCUGAC